rnacentral:rRNA from 1 species
UACAGAGGUGCCAAGCGUUAGGCGGAAUCACUGGGCUUAAAGCGCGCGUAGGCGGAUGUUUAAGUGUCUUGUGAAAUCCCACGGCUCAACCGUGGAACUGCUGGGCAUACUGGACAUCUUGAGGCACUCAGGGGCGAGCGGAACAAGUGGUGGAGCGGUGAAAUGCGUAGAUAUAGAGAAGAACACCAAAAGGCGAAGGCAGUUAACUACUCUGUCUCUGACGUUGAGGCACGAAAGCGUGGGGAGCAAAACGG